AUCGGAAAAUUUAAUGGGAUGUUCCCUUCGAAAUGGUCUCAUAACAGAACUUCCACUGAGAGGACACAGUGACUACGGCGCAUGUUGAGACGGUUCACGGAGCUUUUAUUCUGCAAGAUGAGAUUAUUCGGAACCAGCUCCAUUCGAAAAUUGUUGGAUUAAGAGGAAACAUCAAUCCUCUGAUGCCAUUGGGGUGCUGCAGUGCAGCUAAAACAAUCUCAGCGAUUCAGCCGAACAGACCAUUGGGAUAAGCAAGCUUGGGAGGUUAAGGAAUGGCUGUGAGCCAAACAUCAGGAUUUGUUCGUACUAGAUGAAGGUUAUGAAAAAGCUACCGUGUGUAAUACCUGUGGAUUUAAUUCUGAUUUGUGUAUUCGUGAGGUAACUUAUGAUUGCAAUAUCAAAAGUAGAAGCGACCAGAAAUAGCAGAAAGCCAAGCACACAAUGGGGACGUGACUCCAUUCCAGUCGAAAUUCCUGAUCCGAAAGCUAACGAGCCUGACUGGGAUGAUGCAGAAGAUGGUAUAUGGGGAGCACCAAAGAUACCUAAUCUGGCUUACAAAGGACCAUGGAAGCUUUAGAAAGUUAAAAAUCCCAAUUAUAAGGGGAAGCGGAAGACUCAAUGGAUUGACAACCCAGGAAUUUGGAUAAAAUUUUCACGCAGUGCACAUAUACGGUAUACCUAUGCUUGUUUGCUCCUAAUUAUCAAAUUCAAAUUAUGCAAUGCUGGUGAAGGCCGGCUCAGUUCACGACAACAUUUUGAUUUGCAAUGACCGGAGUAUGCAAAACAAGUUGUACAGGAAUUCUUUGACAAGAACAAGGAGGCUUAAAAAGAAGCCUUUGAGGAAGCAGAGAGAGCAAGACGAAUCCGAGAAGAACAGGAAGCUCAACGAGCAAGAGAAGAAGGCAAAAGGAAGAGGAGACAUGGAGCAUGCUAGGGAUAAAUACAGAACGCGUGGUCACCGUGAUUGCAUGGAUGAUUAUUAUGAUGAACGCUGAGUUGUGGUGUUUCUGCAGAAGUGAAAUGGAUACUGUCCAGUCCCAAACUAUAGUUUUGAAUCAGCAUUGUUUCGAGGAGAAGUCGAUACUCCCCUAAAAGUUAUCAUGCAAAAUUGUUGUAACAUGGGUACUUAACUUUUAAUCGAACACGGCCAACUGAAUACAUGGUGAAUAUAAAAGCACAGUUAUUUGCUAGUUCUGACCUUGUCAGUCAGUUUCAUCUCUACAGUAUAACUACAUAUUUGUAAUUGCCAAUAAGAGAAGCGGGCAAUGGGUUACUUAGAAUCCAACUUGUCAUGUUCAUGUAUAACAUUUCGUUGGGAAAAAAAAUGGUUCAAAUUUUUGUUUACUUUGA